rnacentral:sRNA from 1 species
AGCACAGAAGGAAGAAGGACAGCACAGCCUACAGCUGUGCUCAGGAAGUUUCUGGAUCCUAGGCUCAUCUCCACAGAGGAGAACACGCAGGCAGCAGAGACCAUGGGGCCCCUCUCAGCCCCUCACUGCACACAGCACAUCACCUGGAAGGGGCUCCUGCUCACAGCAUCACUUUUAAACUGCUGGAACCCGCCCACCACUGCCCAAGUCACGAUUGAAGCCCAGCCACCCAAAGUUUCUGCGGGGAAGGAUGUUCUUCUACUUGUCCACAAUUUGCCCCAGAAUCUUGCUGGCUACAUCUGGUACAAAGGGCAAAUAAUGGACCUCUACCAUUACAUUACAUCAUACGUAGUAGACGGUCAAACAAUUAUAUAUGGGCCUGCAUACAGUGGACGAGAAACAGUAUAUUCCAAUGCAUCCCUGCUGAUCCAGAAUGUCACCCGGGAGGACGCAGGAUCCUACACCUUACACAUCAUAAAGCGAGGUGAUAGGACUAGAGGAGUAACUGGAUAUUUCACCUUCACCUUAUACCACCCUGCACCAGCACAGGCCCAGUGAAAGAGACACACUCAGGAUCUCUCACAUAACAAAUGAAGGAAUUGAAUGAAGAAAUGACUGAUCCAAAACCUUUUUAGAGACUGGAUCUUGGAUGUAGCAUCCUAGGAGGCUCUAGCCACACAUGUCCCUUGUCCUUCAGAGGCUGACACCCAUGUUUCAUCCCC